AACGGGAGUGGCAAGCGUUAUCCGGAAUUAUUGGGCGUAAAGCGUCCGCAGGCGGUCUUGUAAGUCUGUCGUUAAAGCGUGGAGCUUAACUCCAUUUCAGCGAUGGAAACUGCAAGACUAGAGUGUGGUAGGGGCAGAGGGAAUUCCCGGUGUAGCGGUGAAAUGCGUAGAUAUCGGGAAGAACACCAGUGGCGAAGGCGCUCUGCUGGGCCAUAACUGACGCUCAUGGACGAAAGCCAGGGGAGCGAAAGGGAUUAGAUACCCCUGUAGUCCUGGCCGUAAACGAUGAACACUAGGUGUCGGGGGAAUCGACCCCCUCGGUGUCGUAGCCAACGCGUUAAGUGUUCCGCCUGGGGAGUACGCACGCAAGUGUGAAACUCAAAGGAAUUGACGGGGGCCCGCACAAGCGGUGGAGUAUGUGGUUUAAUUCGAUGCAACGCGAAGAACCUUACCAGGGUUUGACAUCCUGCGAAUCUUUUGGAAACGAGAGGGUGCCUUCGGGAACGCAGUGACAGGUGGUGCAUGGCUGUCGUCAGCUCGUGUCGUGAGAUGUUGGGUUAAGUCCCGCAACGAGCGCAACCCACGUCGUUAGUUGCCAGCAUUGAGUUGGGCACUCUAGCGAGACCGCCGGUGAUAAACCGGAGGAAGGUGUGGAUGACGUCAAGUCAUCAUGCCCCUUACAUCCUGGGCUACACACGUACUACAAUGCUACGGACAAAGGGCAGCAAACUCGCGAGAGCUAGCAAAUCCCAUAAACCGUGGCUCAGUUCAGAUCGUAGGCUGCAACUCGCCUACGUGAAGGAGGAAUCGCUAGUAAUCGCAGGUCAGCAUACUGCGGUGAAUACGUUCCCGGGCCU
rnacentral:rRNA from 1 species